UUAAAUUGAAGAGUUUGAUCAUGGCUCAGAUUGAACGCUGGCGGCAGGCCUAACACAUGCAAGUCGAACGGUAACAGGAAACAGCUUGCUGUUUCGCUGACGAGUGGCGGACGGGUGAGUAAUGUCUGGGAAACUGCCUGAUGGAGGGGGAUAACUACUGGAAACGGUAGCUA
rnacentral:rRNA from 1 species